rnacentral:rRNA from 1 species
AGCUGAUCACUGGGCGUAAAGCGAGGCAGGCGGUUUUGUAAGACAGAGGUGAAAUCCCCGGGCUCAACCUGGGAACUGCCUUUGUGACUGCAAGGCUGGAGUGCGGCAGAGGGGGAUGGAAUUCCGCGUGUAGCAGUGAAAUGCGUAGAUAUGCGGAGGAACACCGAUGGCGAAGGCAAUCCCCUGGGCCUGCACUGACGCUCAUGCACGAAAGCGUGGGGAGCAAACA